rnacentral:rRNA from 1 species
AUCGAACGCUGGCGGCAGGCCUAACACAUGCAAGUCGAGCGAGCGGCGGACGGGUGAGUAAUGUCUGGGAAACUGCCUGAUGGAGGGGGAUAACUACUGGAAACGGUAGCUAAUACCGCAUACUAUCAGAUGUGCCCAGCUGGGAGUAGCUAGUAGGUGGGGUAACGGCUAACCUAGGCGACGAUCCCUAGCUGGUCUGAGAGGAUGACCAGCCACACUGGAACUGAGACAGGGGCCAGACUCCUACGGGGGGCAGCGGUGGGGAAUGUUGCACGAUGGGCGCAAGCCUGAUGCAGACAUGCCGCGUGUGUGAAGAGGGCCUUCGGGUUGUACAGCACUUUCAGCGGGGAGGGGUUACGCGCGGAAGAAGCACCGGCUAACACCGUGCCAGCAGCCGCGGAAAUU